GUUCUGCGGGGACUAAGACUCUGAGCUGGAGACCGAAGGAGGGUGCGGCCCCCAGCUUGGCUUCGGACAAUCCGAAGUGGAUACAAGGCUGAUUGUGUGGGUUGGAGAUGAGAGUCCCCGGGAGCCUGCCAGUGGGGCGGCCCCACCUGUGGGCACUGUUUCUUUCUUAAGGACAUAGUCAAGCUGUUGAGUGUCACUCUCUCCUCUCCCGCCCCAACGUAAUGCGCUGGACAUUCUAACAAGGAGGCAGGAGGCACUGCCUAGUGCAGAGGAGCCAAGCCAUGGCCAAGGAGCCCCUCCUUCAGAGAUGCCACAGCUUGUGAGCCUGAGCCAGCCUGGGCAUUACUCGGCCUGUAGUGGAAGAUGUCUGCAUGGGGGCAGAGUACUUCUGGUUUCCACCAUGUCCGCCCAAUGACACCCAGGAGCCUCAGGAAGAGCUGAAGGAAAGGCCGGUGAGGGCCUCGACCUCAGAAGCCAAAGUUUCUCCAAGAGGAAGGAACAGAACUUCACCUGAAUGACCUGCCUCUGGCCUUGCCAGCUUCCAUCCUCACUUGAGUCAAUUCUGCACACAAUCUGCCUCUCCGGAAGACCCUAAUUCAGAAAUUGGAAACAGUCUAGAUGCCCAUCAACUGAUGAAUGGACAAUGGAAAUGUGGUACAUCUACACAGUGGAAUAUCAUUCCACUGUUAAGAAAAAUGAAAUUUGCUAUGGAUGGAGCUAGAAACAGUCAUCCUGAGUGAGCUCAGCCUCUCAAGAUUCAAUUGCUCUGGGCUUGAGCUGCACGUGGGCAGAAGUGAGUGAAUUGUAUUAAUGGUUUCCCUAGCAUAAUCCAUCAUCCCCUCAACAAUGCAUUUCUGGCAGUUAAUUAGAAUCCACACAGUGGAAUAACGAACAUCGUGUUUAGAAUUACAAUCUAUUGCUAAACAACAGACCAGACAGCUCAUUCUCUCCCAUCACCCUGGAUGUCCUAAGUGUCUGGCUUCUGAAUCCCGUUUAGUACUCUUUAGCCAGUAAUUCUGCCGAAUGGUUUCAGAUGACUUAAUCACAUCUGUGUGGUGGAAUCUCUGUAUGUGCCCAUGGGUGAGAGAUAAAAGAGGAGAGAGUUGGAGCCGGAGAGAUGGAUUUGCAGGUAACAGCACUCGAUGUUCUUCUCAGGACUGCUCUUAGUUUACCAGCACCCGAGUUACGGGGCUUAUACUCUGCUCCAGGCUCUGUGUGCCUGUGCACAUGUACCUGCCGAGACACACAUUCACACACAUGUACUCAUAAAUAAAUAUUAAAGUACAUCUUUAAAAGAGGAGGGAGCAGAACUUGGCAUUCAGAGAAGGGAAGAAGUCUCUACUUCCCAAAGCAAGAAGAGGAGAUCUCUGCCUUGGGAUGAGCCUCUAGGCUCUUCUGUGGGUGUCUCAGAGGGAGGAAGACUCACAAAGUUUGAGUUAACAGGGGCCUCAGAGACAUAGGUCUCACCUUUUACCCAUUCAGAGUCUCCAUGAAGAUAGUGGCACAUCCUCCCUCCUCCCUCCUCAUCUGCUGUGAUUUCUUCUGCUUCAGGGAGGGCGUGGCUGCUUCAGGGCGUGGCUGCUUCAGGGUGUGGCUUCAGUUAGGCACAGGCAACUCUCUCCGGGGCUCAAUGGCUCUCAUGGAUUCCUUUGCUGGCUUCAGAGACAUCUCUAGUGUCCUUGGCACCUCCAGAUAGUAGAUGAUUAGCAAAUUCAAAAUCUCUCAGUCUGGCUGCCCCUAAAGUUGGUUUCUAGCCCUAUGGCUCAGCUGUGGAAGGAAGCACCCACCUGUGACAAGUGUCCUUGGUUUUGAUAGAGUAGGCCUUCGUUUCCAUUUUUCUGGUAUCAUUAUAUGAGUGUUUUUUUUCCCCCUUCAGGGACUAAGGGGACCAUGUCUACUAUGGGGGAGAAGUUUCUGAAACUCUGCCUCUGAGUGAAUCAAGGUUGCCCAGCCACCUGGGAUCUGUGUCUCCAAAAAGAAAACUCAUGCUGCGUUGUCUGAAUGUAUUCCCCAAAGUUGGAAACUUAAUCUCCAAUGUAGCAGGACUGGGAGGUUUACCUCAGGUCAUGGGGGCUCUUCCUAACUAGCAUUCUCAUGGGAAUAGGCUGAAGAAGUGUUUGUCCCACUUUCACUCUCUGGCCAUGUUACCCAUGUCCAAACCAUGAUGCAGCCUCUCCCCAGCUGCAGUUGUGGGUAGCCCAGUUUCAUAAACCAGGAGCCAAAUAACUUUAUCUGUUCAGCAUAAGUUAUCCAGUCUGCAUUCUUAUGUUUUAUCAACACAAAUGGACAGAGGCACUGUCGUAUUUCUGUUGGUAGUCAAACCUGUGAGGGCUCCUGUGUGCACACACAUGCUUCUGUGCUCCUGGUUUUCCCUUUGGGUUCCCAUAAGACAAUUCCCAUGGAAUCCCUGAGACAAAAGCCCAGCUCCAUAGCACUGGCUGGUCCCAGGUGUUACUAGACACAGGAACAAGCCAGUAAGUAGGCUUAGUCUUGGUCUCCUCAUCUAAGAAAUGGGGUGAGUAGUCAUGUGUUCCUCACAUUGAUAGAAUAAAUAGUACAAUCGUGAAAGUUCUACAUCAGUCACAAAAGAAAGAUCCCCCGAGUUCUACACAGAGAAAGUGAUCUCUCCCCUUCUUUCUUUGUGUGUGUGUAUGUGUGUAUGUAUGUGUGUGUGCAUGCUUCUGUGUGUAUGUGCAUAUAUGUAUGUGUGUGUAUGUAUGUGUAUGUAUGUUUGUAUGGAUGUGUAUGAGUGUAUGUAUGUGUGUGUAUGUAUGUGUGUGCAUGUAUGUGUGUGUGUAUGUGCAUGAGUACAUAUGUGUAUGUGUGUGUAUGUAUGUGUGUGUUUGUGUGUGCAUGUGUGUAUGUGUGUGUGAGAGAGAGAGUGAGAGAGAGAGUGAGAGAGAGAGAGAGAGAGAGAGAGAGAGAGAGAGAGAGAGAGAGAGAGAGAUCAGAGAGCCAGGCUUGCCUUAUGUGAUCAUUAGCAUUUUCUAAUCUCAGUUCCUGGCAGAGGUUAGUGGCCAUUCUUGGAAGAUAGGUAGGAUACAGAUCUAAAUCUCCUUUUACUUAGCCAAACUCUUUGAUUCUUUGAAGACAGGGUGCACUAGAGUGGUGUAAAGCCCAAGAGAAGGACAUUCAAAUUCAACUUAUUCUAACCAUUCAGAUUUGGGGGCUGUGUUGUGCUGGUAAAUGUUUGUCAGAGGGCAGGGGACCAAAGGCCUUGGUUGUGGUUCCUGUUUUCUGCUGUUCUGGCAGAGUAGCACAGGCUUGGUUAUUUAACAAGAGAGGGGAAUAGGGCUCAAAGACCUUAGUGAGAGCCGAGUGUGAGACGGAGGGGCUCUGUAUGGCGAGGGAGGGCCUUUGUGCUAUAUUACAAUGUGGUGGGAGGGCAAGCGAGCAUGUGGGAACCGCAGAGAGAUCGCCUUCCUCUCAAGUCAAGGGCACCUGCCCCUUGCUGGAGGUAGAUUUUAAUAUCUAGUCACCCUUCUCUUAUUUCCCGUUACCUUAACAGUAGCAAUUAAAUUUCUACACAGGCUUUGGAAAGGACCUUUUUUUAAAGGACAGCCGUAAUGUUUGGUAGUUUGGGUGACAUAAAUAUUCUCUGCGUGGCUGAUUCUUAAGUCAGGAAUUUGGCAGACUGUACGCGGUCAGCUCUCCAGUGCAGGCCUGAGUCUGCUGUGUAGCUAGCUCAGGAAGGACAGAGGGAGGCACAAGGGAGUUUUGGGUUCCUGGCGGGUUGAAUUUCUCCACAUAACUCCGACUCACUCCACUCACAUUUGCUAAAGCAUGGUGGAGGUAGCAUGGCCCUUUUCUCAAUCAUUUACCGUAGCCGUACCAGGUCUGGAAUCAGCACUGGCCCUGGCUGCCCUGCUGGCUCCCGAUGCGGCAGCCCCGCACUCUUGGUGGUCACAGUGGUCCCUGCAGGAUGACAUUUUAGCAGCCUUUGCAACAGCAUUCUCUCUCCUCCCACCCUUUCCUCAACCACAGCCUGGCAUGGUGUAGGCGUUUUAUGCAUGCCUGUUCAGCGUGGAGGUUUUCAAGCACAAGUCCCACGUGGGCACUGGCUGGGACAGUCCAAGACCCUUUGAAGGCUCCCUUUGCCUGAGUCUUGGAUGGUCGGCACAGACUUUUCUUCCCCACUGUGUGUGGGUUCUAAGUCCAUGUGAGAGGCAGCCUGGUGCUUGCAGGGAAUGAGGUCUGAAAUGUCUCUGGUUGCCCUUCCCUCUCUCUGCUUAACUAUAACUUCUCGGUUCUACAGACUACAGUUGGAUGUCAAAGUGCCUGCUGAGUGGACAAGCUUGUUCCCUGGCUCUGCCAGACUGGAAAAAGUCACACUAAAUGACUCACCAAUAGUUGCAAUGCCUUGUUACAUCUUUAUGAAUACAUUGGGUGACUGUGGAAAGAUCACUACAUCUCUGAUGCAAAUCCCCACAGGAAAUAAAUAUAGAUUCCUUUGUCAUAAUCAGGGUGGCAUCUCGAUCUGCCUGCGGUGAUUAAAGUGUAACCAAACUGCCAUUUAAUCUCAUUUCAAAAUUGUGUUGUGUAAAAACAGCAUGAUACAGAAAUACUUUGUGUAGCUUGA